AGAGUUUGAUCCUGGCUCAGAUUGAACGCUGGCGGCAUGCCUUACACAUGCAAGUCGAACGGUAACAGGUCUUCGGAUGCUGACGAGUGGCGAACGGGUGAGUAAUACAUCGGAACGUGCCCGAUCGUGGGGGAUAACUACUCGAAAGAGUGGCUAAUACCGCAUACGAUCUGCGGAUGAAAGCAGGGGACCCGCAAGGGCCUUGCGCGGACGGAGCGGCCGAUGGCAGAUUAGGUAGUUGGUGGGAUAAAAGCCCACCAAGCCGACGAUCUGUAGCUGGUCUGAGAGGACGACCAGCCACACUGGGACUGAGACACGGCCCAGACUCCUACGGGAGGCAGCAGUGGGGAAUUUUGGACAAUGGGGGAAACCCUGAUCCAGCAAUGCCGCGUGCAGGAUGAAGGCCUUCGGGUUGUAAACUGCUUUUGUACGGAACGAAAGGCUCCUUCAAAUAAAGGGGGCCCAUGACGGUACCGUAAGAAUAAGCACCGGCUAACUACGUGCCAGCAGCCGCGGUAAUACGUAGGGUGCAAGCGUUAAUCGGAAUUACUGGGCGUAAAGCGUGCGCAGGCGGUUAUGUAAGACAGAUGUGAAAUCCCCGGGCUCAACCUGGGAAUUGCAUUAGUGACUGCAUAGCUUGAGUGCGGCAGAGGGGGAUGGAAUUCCGCGUGUAGCAGUGAAAUGCGUAGAUAUGCGGAGGAACACCGAUGGCGAAGGCAAUCCCCUGGGCCUGCACUGACGCUCAUGCACGAAAGCGUGGGGAGCAAACGGGAUUAGAUACCCUGGUAGUCCACGCCCUAAACGAUGUCAACUGGUUGUUGGGAAUUCACUUUCUCAGUAACGAAGCUAACGCGUGAAGUUGACCGCCUGGGGAGUACGGCCGCAAGGUUAAAACUCAAAGGAAUUGACGGGGACCCGCACAAGCGGUGGAUGAUGUGGUUUAAUUCGAUGCAACGCGAAAAACCUUACCCACCUUUGACAUGUAUGGAAGGCCGCAGAGACGCGGUUGUGCCCGAAAGGGAGCCAUAACACAGGUGCUGCAUGGCUGUCGUCAGCUCGUGUCGUGAGAUGUUGGGUUAAGUCCCGCAACGAGCGCAACCCUUGCCAUUAGUUGCUACAUUGAGUUGGGCACUCUAAUGGGACUGCCGGUGACAAACCGGAGGAAGGUGGGGAUGACGUCAAGUCCUCAUGGCCCUUAUAGGUGGGGCUACACACGUCAUACAAUGGCUGGUACAAAGGGUUGCCAACCCGCGAGGGGGAGCCAAUCCCAUAAAGCCAGUCGUAGUCCGGAUCGCAGUCUGCAACUCGACUGCGUGAAGUCGGAAUCGCUAGUAAUCGUGGAUCAGAAUGUCACGGUGAAUACGUUCCCGG
rnacentral:rRNA from 1 species